rnacentral:rRNA from 1 species
CGCGGUGCAUUAGCUAGUUGGUAAGGUAAAGGCUUACCAAGGCGAUGAUGCAUAGCCGAGUUGAGAGACUGAUCGGCCACAUUGGGACUGAGACACGGCCCAAACUCCUACGGGAGGCAGCAGUAGGGAAUCUUCCACAAUGGACGCAAGUCUGAUGGAGCAACGCCGCGUGAGUGAAGAAGGUUUUCGGAUCGUAAAGCUCUGUUGUUGGUGAAGAAGGAUAGAGGUAGUAACUGGCCUUUAUUUGACGGUAAUCAACCAGAAAGUCACGGCUAACUAC